GACGAACGCUGGCGGCGUGCCUAAUACAUGCAAGUUGAGCGAUGAAGAUUGGUGCUUGCACCAAUUUGAAGAGCAGCGAACGGGUGAGUAACGCGUGGGGAAUCUGCCUUUGAGCGGGGGACAACAUUUGGAAACGAAUGCUAAUACCGCAUAACAACUUUAAACAUAAGUUUUAAGUUUGAAAGAUGCAAUUGCAUCACUCAAAGAUGAUCCCGCGUUGUAUUAGCUAGUUGGUGAGGUAAAGGCUCACCAAGGCGAUGAUACAUAGCCGACCUGAGAGGGUGAUCGGCCACAUUGGGACUGAGACACGGCCCAAACUCCUACGGGAGGCAGCAGUAGGGAAUCUUCGGCAAUGGACGAAAGUCUGACCGAGCAACGCCGCGGGAGUGAAGAAGGUUGUCGGAUCGUAAAACUCUGUUGGUAGAGAAGAACGUUGGUGAGAGUGGAAAGCUCAUCAAGUGACGGUAACUACCCAGAAAGGGACGGCUAACUACGUG
rnacentral:rRNA from 1 species